GCGGCCAUAGUUCAGUGGCAGGAUGACUGCUUCCCAAGCAGUAGACGCGAGUUCGAUUCUCGCUGGCCGCA
rnacentral:tRNA from 1 species